rnacentral:rRNA from 1 species
GUAGGUGCAAGCGUUAUCCGGAAUUAUUGGGCGUAAAGCGCGCGUAGGCGGUUUUUUAAGUCUGAUGUGAAAGCCCACGGCUCAACCUUGGAGGGUCAUUGGAAACUGGAAAACUUGAGUGCAGAAGAGGAAAGUGGAAUUCCAUGUGUAGCGGUGAAAUGCGCAGAGAUAUGGAGGAACACCAGUGGCGAAGGCGACUUUCUGGUCUGUAACUGACGCUGAUGUGCGAAAGCGUGGGGAUCAAACAGGAUUAGAUACCCUGGUAGUCCACGCCGUAGACGAUGAGUGCUAAGUGUUAGGGGGUUUCCGCCCCUUAGUGCUGCAGCUAACGCAUUAAGCACUCCGCCUGGGAGUACGACCGCAAGGUUG